rnacentral:lncRNA from 1 species
CCCCAGCAACAGCAUCUCACUUCCCAGGUUGUCCCCGGGCUGCCUCUGCAGCAAUCCCACUAGAGCUGCCUUUCACCCAGCUAAGAAGUGCUGAUUCCUUAAGCAAAGGAGCCACCGGAAUAAAAGUGUGCAACCAGUGUGACGGGAGAAUGGAAUGAGAUGGUCAGCACUUGACAUCUACAGGGAAAUGUCCCACUAAAGAACUUGAUAUCAGCAACGAAGGGAAAUGA